UUGGACAGUCAAACACUCACUUACCGAGU
rnacentral:sRNA from 1 species